GCAAGUCGAGGGGUAACAUUUGUGCUUCUACCAGAUGACGACCGGCGCACGGGUGCGUAACGCGUAUAGAACCUACCUUUUACAGAGGGAUAGCCUUUAGAAAUGAAGAUUAAUACCUCAUAGUAUUGCGAGAUGGCAUCAUUUUGUAAUUAAAGAUUUAUCGGUAAAAGAUGGCUAUGCGUCCUAUUAGCUAGAUGGAGAGGUAACGGCUCCCCAAGACAAUGAUAGGUAGGGGUCCUGAGAGGGAGGUC
rnacentral:rRNA from 1 species